AAGAGUUGCAAAACUCCCACAAACCAUCGCGAACGUUACCCAGACGUCGUUGCUUCGGCGGGCUCGCCCGCCGGGGGGACGCUACCAGACUCUCGCAGUUAUUCGGCCUCUCUGAGUAUGAUUUUUUAAAUAAGUCA
rnacentral:misc_RNA from 1 species